AUGGUGAAUUCUAUCCUCCUGUAUGGUUUUUCCCAUAAUAACAGAGUGGGUUUCACCAAGGCCUGUUCAAACUUGCCACUGGUUUCUCCUCAUGACAGUCAGAUUGCAGAGCUGGAAGACCCUCAGCACUACAAAAUGCUGAAGCAUCCCAGGCCCCUACAGUGCUUGGUUUUAGCUGAUGAAUUACUGUCUGCAAGAAACAGUGUUGAAAAGCUUUGAGAAAUGUUAUAUGUGAAAUGGAAGAAAACAUGAUUCAGUGAGCAGGACAUGGGAAAUCCAAAUGAAAUGGUACUGCUUUUUAAUAUGCUUUGGUAUUCACCUCCUGUAGAGAAUAAUUCACACCUAUCAAUCUUUUGUAAUGUCAAGCAAAACAUGGUACAGUUCCCAAGGGAACUGGAAUUAAUAAGUCUUUUGAUACAUCACUGACUUCUCUGUUUUGCCACUUAAUUUUCUCCAAUAGCUCACUCACUGAAUCUCUGAGGGCAGUUUCUUUUUCCAGAAAAAAAGGAUGUGGCACAUUUUUAUUCAAGAAUCAUUUUGGUGUUCUCACAUGGACAGGAAGAUGAUGUGAAAUUUCAUUCUUUAUAUAGUCAAAUAAGGCAGAGCAUCGUAUCAAUAGCACAAACUCUGGAAACAUCAUGAAGGUAAGAAUGAAGGUGUUGGACAUACAUAGUUGAAUACCACAGAUAUUACUAAGAAACUUCUCAGAAGACCAAAAUGGAUGAUGUUAUUUUUUUACCAACAAAUCAUCAGUUUUAAACAUAAAGUCCUGAGGAAGAGCAAGUGUGCAAAUGCUGACUUUGCUAAUAAUCUGUUUCCUGCUGGGCUCCAGUGUUUGUGAUCCAUCUCCUUCUAGAGUUUAUUCCCAAAGAGUAUUUUAGAAAAGCUUACUUAUAUAGAAUGGCCUAGAAAUUUCAUGAAAUUAUUCUGGGAGCAAAUCCAGAUAGUGAAAACUGUGGGAUAUAUUCUUGUUUAUGGAUAUUGAAAAGAACCAUUGAUUAUGGCAGUGUGCUCCCAAGAUACUGAAUAUAUAUCCCUAGAGGAGUAGAGGGAAAUCUUGUCAGUGAUGUGUCACAGUUUAAGCAAAUUUGGUCAGGAAUCACAGCACAACUACAGCAAUAAUAUUUUUUUUACAUUACCCUUCAAAUGAUAUGAGCACAUCUCCAUCUAAAAGCAAGAGUAUAUGCUUUCAGUAAAGUGUAAUUGUCCUAGCAGUCCU
rnacentral:lncRNA from 1 species